AUGCCCGUAGGAUCCGAUAAAGACAUAUUGGAUGAUGACGAGGAAGCGAGCAUGUCUAGCGCUAAACAUAGAGAGAUUGAUCCAUUUGACACUGUCUACUCAAACAUUCCAGACAGCACUCACAUCCUGAAACUCGACGAAAAUUGCAAACACUGCAAGGCCAGGAAGUUUGAGUUUGAGGCUGAUGGGUUCUGUUCUCGCAAUUGCCAGAUCCAGCUUAAGCAAUCGAAACCAAUCCCAGAGCUUAUGAGGCUAUGGUCCAGCAUGGAUGCAGAUUCUAGACAUUUUCGGGAGAACAUACGGUUCAUCAACGGGCAUUUCGCCUUCACAGCCCUUGCCGUCAGCCUUGAUGAAAACUACAUGAUGGAGUCCUGGACUAGGGGGUGUCCGCAUAUCCAAACUAUCACCGUUGGCCGGACUCCUGGACUAUGA
rnacentral:rRNA from 1 species